rnacentral:lncRNA from 1 species
AAACAGCUCCAUAACUAAUCAUCCUGUGUGACCUGCUCUGGAACUUUAUCAGAUGGAGAAUUUCAUUGGAUUUGAAUUCUCAGCAGGUUUAUGUUGGAUUUCAUGAAAGAGUAUUUAGCAAAUGAGUGGUCUCCUAUUUCAUGUCUGUGGUUUUUUACUCUCUAUGGAAUCUUCUGUUUAGAAAGAAGAUUUAAAAGAAACCUAGAGAUGUUCUGGGGGCAAGGGUCAUCUACCUUAACAUUUCACCAGAUAAACAAGGUUCCAAAGGACUACAAGUAAGUGACAUUUCAUUUUACA